rnacentral:rRNA from 1 species
GAUGAACGCUGGCGGCGUGCCUAAUACAUGCAAGUCGAGUGAACGGACGAGAAGCUUGCUUUUCUGAUGUUAGCGGCGGACGGGUGAGUAACACGUGGAUAACCUACCUAUAAGACUGGGAUAACUUCGGGAAACCAGAGCUAAUACCGGAUAAUAUUUUGAACCGCAUGGUUCAAAAGUGAAAGACGGUCUUGCUGUCACUUAUAGAUGGAUCCGCGCUGCAUUAGCUAGUUGGUAAGGUAACGGCUUACCAAGGCAACGAUGCAUAGCCGACCUGAGAGGGUGAUCGGCCACACUGGAACUGAGACACGGUCCAGACUCCUACGGGAGGCAGCAGUAGGGAAUCUUCCGCAAAGGGCGAAAGCCUGACGGAGCAACGCCGCGUGAGUGAUGAAGGUCUUCGGAUCGUAAAACUCUGUUAUUAGGGAAGAACAUAUGUGUAAGUAACUGUGCACAUCUUGACGGUACCUAAUCAGAAAGCCACGGCUAACUACGUG